UUGGACUCCAGAGGCUCUUGAAAGCUUGGCAGCAACCCUGAGGAUGCAACUGGGAGAGUUAGAGCAGCAUUCUGCAUACUUGGAUUCACGUCUAGAGAGGAAGAGGGCUGAGUUGGACCAGUUGCAAGAGCAGAGCACUAACAACUGCUCGGCAGAAGAUGCCACAUUUGGACCUGAGGAGCAGCAAGCAAUCCUACAAAUCUUCA
rnacentral:lncRNA from 1 species